rnacentral:rRNA from 1 species
GCCCAGCUUGNNNNACUCGAGUGGCGAACGGGUGAGUAACACGUGGGUGAUCUGCCUUGCACUCUGGGAUAAGCCUGGGAAACUGGGUCUAAUACCGGAUAUGACCUCUGACUGCAUGGUUGGGGGUGGAAAGCUUUUGCGGUGUGAGAUGGGCCCGCGGCCUAUCAGCUUGUUGGUGAGGUAAUGGCUCACCAAGGCGACGACGGGUAGCCGACCUGAGAGGGUGAUCGGCCACACUGGGACUGAGACACGGCCCAGACUCCUACGGGAGGCAGCAGUGGGGAAUAUUGCACAAUGGGCGCAAGCCUGAUCCAGCCAUGCCGCGUGAGUGACGAAGGCCUUAGGGUUGUAAAGCUCUUUUGGCGGGGACGAUAAUGACGGUACCCGCAG